UACGUAGGGUGCAAGCGUUAUCCGGAAUUAUUGGGCGUAAAGAGCUCGUAGGCGGUUUGUCGCGUCUGCUGUGAAAACUGGAGGCUCAACCUCCAGCCUGCAGUGGGUACGGGCAAACUAGAGUGCGGUAGGGGAGAUUGGAAUUCCUGGUGUAGCGGUGGAAUGCGCAGAUAUCAGGAGGAACACCGAUGGCGAAGGCGGCCAUCUGGGUCGACACUGACGCUCAUGCACGAAAGCGUGGGGAGCAAACAGG
rnacentral:rRNA from 1 species